rnacentral:rRNA from 1 species
ACGAACCGUGCGAACGUUAUUCGGAAUCACUGGGCUUAAAGCGCGUGUAGGCGGGACGGCACGUCGGUCGCUGAAAUCCCCCGGCUCAACCGGGGAACGGGCGCCGAUACGACCGUCCUGGAGGGACGUAGGGGGACCUGGAACUUCCGGUGGAGCGGUGAAAUGCGUUGAGAUCGGAAGGAACGCCCGUGGCGAAAGCGAGGUCCUGGACGUUUUCUGACGCUGAGACGCGAAAGCCAGGGGAGCGAACGGG